rnacentral:rRNA from 1 species
CAGCGUGAGCCGGGAAUGGAAAGACCGGUACAAGCGAGGUAGGAGAAGAGUUGGCAAAUCCGCUCUUUAAUCUGAAGACGUGAUGUGGACUGAAAAUAAGUAGGGAAGCACGUGAGCUGACUGUCAAGAGAGCCGCUAUUGUUUGCAGGAUACCCGUACCGUAAACCGACACAGGUGGAUGAGGAGAGAAUCCUAAGGCCGACGGGAGAAGCAUUGUUAAGGAACUCGGCAAAAUGACUCCGUAACUUCGGGAGAAGGAGUGCCAGUAAGAUGGCCGCAGAGAAUUGGCCCAAGCAACUGUUUAGCAAAAACACAGGUCUAUGCAAAACCGAAAGGUGAGGUAUAUGGGCUGACGCCUGCCCGGUGCUGGAAGGUUAAGGGGAGAGGUUAGCGCAAGCGAAGCUUUGAACUUAAGCCCCAGUAAACGGCGGCCGUAACCAUAACGGUCCUAAGGUAGCGAAAUUCCUUGUCGGGUAAGUUCCGACCCGCACGAAAGGCGUAAUGAUUUGGGCACUGUCUCAACAAUGCACCCGGUGAAAUUGAAAUACCAGUGAAGAUGCUGGUUACCUGCGCCAGGACGGAAAGACCCCAUGGAGCUUUACUCCAGCUUGAUACUGGGAUUCGGUAUUGCAUGUACAGGAUAGGUGGGAGGCUAGGAAAUGGUAACGCCAGUUGCCAUGGAGCCGAUGUUGGGAUACCACCCUUGCAGUACUGGGUUUCUAACCAGCAGCCGUGAUCCGGCUGGGGGACAAUGUCAGGUGGGGAGUUUGACUGGGGCGGUCGCCUCCGAAAGGGUAUCGGAGGCGCUCAAAGGUUCCCUCAGAAUGGUUGGAAACCAUUCGAAGAGUGCAAAGGCAGAAGGGAGCUUGACUGCGACACCGACGGGUGGAGCAGGUACGAAAGUAGGACUUAGUGAUCCGGUGGUAUAAAGUGGGAUUGCCAUCGCUCAACGGAUAAAAGCUACCCUGGGAUAACAGCUUAUCACUCCCAAGAGUUCACAUCGACGGAGUGGUUUGGCACCUCGAUGUCGGCUCAUCGCAUCCUGGGGCUGAAGUAGGUCCCAAGGGUUGGGCUGUUCGCCCAUUAAAGCGGUACGCGAGCUGGGUUCAGAACGUCGUGAGACAGUUCGGUCCCUAUCCGGCGUGGGCGUAAGAUAUUUGAGAGGAGCUGUCCUUAGUACGAGAGGACCGGGAUGGACUGGCCGCUGGUGUAUCUGUUGUCUUACCAAAGGCAUAGCAGAGUAGCCAAGCCGGGAAGGGAUAAACGCUGAAGGCAUCUAAGCGUGAAGCCCCCCUCAAGAUGAGAUAUCUCAUAACGUCAAGUUAGUAAGACCCCUUGAAGACGACGAGGUAGAUAGGGCAGAGGUGGAAGUGUGGUAACACAUGGAGCUGACUGUUACUAAUAGGUCGAGGGCAUAACC